rnacentral:misc_RNA from 1 species
AACAAACCCAGGUGGUUGCUCCAUGUGGACCUCUUUGGCUAGUUUGGCGAGUUCCCCAUGUAAAAAGGCAUGCUUAAUAUCCAGUUGAUGCAGAGUCCAGUGAUGCAUUACUACUAAAGAAAUAAGUAGAACGAUUGAGGCAAUUUUAGCUACUAGAGAGAAUGUGUCACUGUAGUCAAGCCCAUAAAUCUAAGUGUAUCCUUUGGCAACAAGACAGAUUUUUAAUCGAUCAAUUUUGCCAUCACGACCCACUUUCAUAGUGUAGACCCAGUGAUAUUCAACAGUAGAUUUUCCCUCUGGUAAAGGAACCAACUCUCAAGUUUCAUUAUCAUGAAGAGUAGUCAUUUCCUCUAUCAUUGCAUUGUGCCACCAUGGAUGUUCCAAUGCCUCCCUAACAGUCUUAGGUAUGGGGAUAUUAGAUAAGGUAGAAACAAAGGUAUAAUAGGAUGGGGAUAAACAAUGAUAACUCAAACAAUUACAAAUCGGAUGUGGGUUGAGAGAUAAAUGAAUACCUUUUUGAAUGGCAAUGGAAGGAGUUGCUGCUUCUGCUAAAUGCAUUAUUGGAGUAGGUUACAAAGGAACAGAAGAGUCAUUAACAACUGUAUCAUGAAUAGUAGUGUCAUUCAUGUUAGCAAAAGUGUGUGGACGACGAGAAUAAACUCGAAAAGUUGGAGAAUGAUUGACUAGUGGAGGUGGAAGAAUAGGAAAAGGAAGAGCUUUAGAGAUGAGAUUUUUAUCUGUGGUGCUUGGGGAGAAAUAUGGGGAGGUUUCAAAGAAGGUUACAUCGGCUAAGAUAAAAUAUUUAUUUGUUGCUGGAUCAUAGCACUUGUAACCUUUCAAAAGCCUAGAGUAGCCUAAAAAGACAUACUUAACAAAUUUAGGCUGAAGUUUGUCUUUUCCAAGAG